UGCAGUCGAACGAUGAAGCCCAGCUUGCUGGGUGGAUUAGUGGCGAACGGGUGAGUAACACGUGAGUAACCUGCCCCUGACUCUGGGAUAAGCCCGGGAAACUGGGUCUAAUACCGGAUAUGACUUUUGACCGCAUGGUUGAGGGUGGAAAGAUUUAUCGGUUGGGGAUGGACUCGCGGCCUAUCAGCUUGUUGGUGAGGUAAUGGCUCACCAAGGCGACGACGGGUAGCCGGCCUGAGAGGGUGACCGGCCACACUGGGACUGAGACACGGCCCAGACUCCUACGGGAGGCAGCAGUGGGGAAUAUUGCACAAUGGGCGCAAGCCUGAUGCAGCGACGCCGCGUGAGGGAUGACGGCCUUCGGGUUGUAAACCUCUUUCAGUAGGGAAGAAGCGAGAGUGACGGUACCUGCAGAAGAAGCGCCGGCUAACUACGUGCCAGCAGCCGCGGUAAUACGUAGGGCGCAAGCGUUAUCCGGAUUUAUUGGGCGUAAAGAGCUCGUAGGCGGUUUGUCGCGUCUAUCGUGAAAGUCCGAGGCUCAACCUCGGAUCUGCGGUGGGUACGGGCAGACUAGAGUGAUGUAGGGGAGACUGGAAUUCCUGGUGUAGCGGUGAAAUGCGCAGAUAUCAGGAGGAACACCGAUGGCGAAGGCAGGUCUCUGGGCAUUUACUGACGCUGAGGAGCGAAAGCAUGGGGAGCGAACAGGAUUAGAUA
rnacentral:rRNA from 1 species